UGCUUUUGAUGGGCGUCGACCGGCGCACAGGUGAGUAACGCGUAUCCAACCUGCCCACCACUUGGGGAUAACCUUGCGAAAGUAAGACUAAUACCCAAUGACGUCUCUAGAAGACAUCUGAAAGAGAUUAAAGAUUUAUCGGUGAUGGAUGGGGAUGCGUCUGAUUAGCUUGUUGGCGGGGUAACGGCCCACCAAGGCGACGAUCAGUAGGGGUUCUGAGAGGAAGGUCCCCCACAUUGGAACUGAGACACGGUCCAAACUCCUACGGGAGGCAGCAGUGAGGAAUAUUGGUCAAUGGGCGAGAGCCUGAACCAGCCAAGUAGCGUGCAGGAUGACGGCCCUAUGGGUUGUAAACUGCUUUUAUAAGGGAAUAAAGUGAGUCUCGUGAGACUUUUUGCAUGUACCUUAUGAAUAAGGACCGGCUAAUUCCGUGCCAGCAGCCGCGGUAAUACGGAAGGUCCGGGCGUUAUCCGGAUUUAUUGGGUUUAAAGGGAGCGUAGGCCGGAGAUUAAGCGUGUUGUGAAAUGUAGACGCUCAACGUCUGCACUGCAGCGCGAACUGGUUUCCUUGAGUACGCACAAAGUGGGCGGAAUUCGUGGUGUAGCGGUGAAAUGCUUAGAUAUCACGAAGAACUCCGAUUGCGAAGGCAGCUCACUGGAGCGCAACUGACGCUGAAGCUCGAAAGUGCGGGUAUCGAACAGGAUUAGAUACCCUGGUAGUCCGCACGGUAAACGAUGGAUGCCCGCUGUUGGUCUGAAUAGGUCAGCGGCCAAGCGAAAGCAUUAAGCAUCCCACCUGGGGAGUACGCC
rnacentral:rRNA from 1 species